rnacentral:tRNA from 1 species
GACCGCGUAGCUCAGUUGGCAGCGCAUGCAUUGGGCUAGUAUUCCAAAGGUCGUAGGUUCGAUUCCCACCGUGGUCA